CAGGCUGGUCUCGAACUCCCAACCUCAGGUCAUCCACACACCUUGGCCUCCCAAAGUGCUGGGAUUACAGGCAUGGGCCACUGGGCCCGGCCUGACUUCUGUAUUCUUAAAUCAAGAAGGGAAGGGUAAAUAUGAAGAAGUAAGGGGACUUAGAAAUAGGAAGUAGAAUGGUGGUUGCCAGAGGCUGGGAAGAGGGGAGAUGGGGAUUACUGUCUAAAGGAUAUAGGUGUAGAGUUUCAAUUUUACAAGAUGGAAAGAGUUACAGAGAUGGAUAGCGAUGAU
rnacentral:lncRNA from 10 species